GUGACCCGCGUCGGCACAAGGCGUCGGCCGCCGACGCGACGCGCCACGGAGAACCGAGCCGACCGCGGAUAAGAUCGGCGCCCGCUCGGCUGGCCUGGUCCCGAGGACGCGGACCUCGUCGUCAGCGUAUCGGAGGACUCCUUUCCAGAAGCGUUUGCUUCGUGCGCCGACUCCGUGCUGAGUCUGUGCUAUAUUGACGAAAGUGGUGGGCUACUUGCUGACAUCGGCGCUUCAGAUGCGUGUCUAGUAACGCAGGUCCUGCAGAAUCCCCUUUGAAUGGUGGACGUACUAAUUUUGCUGUGAAGUUCGCGCGUAGAUUUGACGGCGGAUGUUGCUUGGCAGCAUUGUCAGGCGCUAAGGCACCGACCAAGGCGAGACGACUUGGGACCUUGGAUGCAGCGGCCUCCGACGCAGCUUCCGGCUGCCUACACCAGACAAUUAGUACGUUGUGCCGGGGAUCCAUUGUACUUGGCAUUCGUGAGGACAAUACUCGGGCUCUUUGAAUGUGUUAGAGCUCGUCUGCGUUGCAUCUUAUUUUGGCAGCAUUCAUGUGGGCAGAAGGACUGUGACUUACAGCGGAAGUUUAUUUCUGUCGUGUGCAGUAAUCGGUUUAUGGGCGGUUUAUGUGCGUGAUCUCGUUACGAUGACACCAUGUGCCUGUCGCUCUUGACCACACGGAUUCUCUGACGAGUCCUGGAUGCUUCAGCAACUACGCGUCUGUCUUGGGCUGAAUCGAUAGGGCAGAUGAGAUGGCCGAAGAGGUCACCGCGCCAGCUCCACCACCUCCGGAGUCGGUAAGGAUGACCGUUGAUGUUGUGGGUCCCGCCUUGGGCUGCGCCUGGCGUGCCUGGAUGGGCGGACUGGUGAGGCGCCUGGUGGACGUAGUGGUGGACGCGGCGUGCGGCGCAGUGCACGCCUGUCGCCGUCAACCCAGGUCGCGGCACGUUGCCCCCUGUCACCGAACCCCUCCUUCUAAAGCCGGCCUCCGAACUGGCACGGCUUAUCGCCACCGGAAAGGCGAGCAGCGAAGCCGUAGUUGGCGCCUUCUGUGCUCGCAUCGGCGCCAUCGAGCCCCAGCUGGGCGCCGUCGUAGACGAACGCAUGAGCGAGGCGCUGGACGAGGCACGCCGAGUGGACAAGCUGGUCAGAGACUCGGUCGCUCAGCGCGGCACCAAAGGA